rnacentral:rRNA from 1 species
UACGGAGGGUGCAAGCGUUAAUCGGAAUUACUGGGCGUAAAGCGCACGCAGGCGGUCUGUCAAGUCGGAUGUGAAAUCCCCGGGCUUAACCUGGGAACUGCAUUCGAAACUGGCAGGCUAGAGUCUUGUAGAGGGGGGGUAGAAUUCCAGGUGUAGCGGUGAAAUGCGUAGAGAUCUGGAGGAAUACCGGUGGCGAAGGCGGCCCCCUGGACAAAGACUGACGCUCAGGUGCGAAGCGUGGGGAGCAAACAGG